AUGGCGGACUCGUUGCCAGACGACGUAGUCAUGGAUAUCCUCUCGCGCAUCAAGGACGUGCCCUCGCUCUUGCGCUGCGCCGCGGUGUGCAAAGGAUGGCGCCGCCUCGUUGCCCGCAUGGAGCGCGUGGGUGUCUUCGCUGGCUUCUUCACGCAGCUGCAGGCACGCGGGCAGCAUACCACGCCGUGGUUUAUCCCGUCGCCCCGCCCGGUCCCGGUGGCGCUGGGACGUCGUCGCCGCCGUCUCAGCUCCCUCGUCCCAGACAUCCGAGUCGCCGGCUUCUUUGACUACGCAGUACCGCUCGUAUCGCACCAUGGCCUUCUACUGCUGCGCAUCAACACCAAUCUGCGCGGUGGCAUCCUGGCCGUCUGCGAUCUGCUCGCUGGCACCUUACGCGUACUCCCUUCUCUUCUAGGCUAUAAUUUGGAUGAAGAGAUGAUGGGAUACACCCUACUUACCAAUAAGGACCGUGGGAGUUUGGACGAUGACCAGCAUCAGCGGCCAUUCUUCUUCAAGGUGGUGAUUGUUACGAUCCUCAAGAAUCACGGCUAUUAUACGGAGUACAGUCUCCAGACAUUCUCAUCGGCCAACGAGACAGGAUGGAGCAGGUGCUCCGGCGACCUCUUGAAGGCCGGGAAUCACAACAUCCGCGUGGCAUUUAUGCAGCGUGAAGCUGUUGUGUGCGGCAGCGCCGCGCACUGGCUCUUCUUCGGACUGCCUGCUGCAAUCUACACUCUUGAUUUGAGCAAUGAAACUGGACACGUCUCCAUUACAGAAUUGAAGGGCAUAGAUAAUCUUUGGGUCUUAGGUGUUCUUUGCGUCUUAGGUCUGCGUGACAAACCAUACCUUACCGUUGACACCGAGGCGAAGCUCAUGUUGCUCUGCUUGCAGCAGGAUGGUCACCAAGUGCAGAUCUGGACGUCGCGCGACAACAAGAUGUUCUUCCAAUCUUCAAUACUCAAGUUAAAACAACGUGUCUGUAAAUGCUUGGGAGAGAAAAGCGGCAUUGUGCUCUUCAUGGAUAAGCAGCGGGUUGUCUAUCUUGCUGAUGUCAAGACAGGGGUGAUGCAGGAGGUGACCCAAUGGCCAUACAAUAUCGGCCUCUGCCGCCAAAAUACCGUACUCGUGGAAAUGGACUGGCCGGCCUUCUUUGCUUUUCGGCUUGGUGUUGCAGGCACUUGA
rnacentral:rRNA from 1 species